AGAAUCAACGCUGGCGGCGUGCCUAACACAUGCAAGUCGAACGAGAAAGUGGAGCAAUCCAUGAGUAAAGUGGCGCACGGGUGAGUAACACGUGACUAACCUACCCUUGAGUGGGGAAUAACUUCGGGAAACCGAGGCUAAUACCGCAUAACACCUACGGGUCAAAGGAGCAAUUCGCUUAAGGAGGGGGUCGCGGCAGAUUAGUUAGUUGGCGGGGUAAUGGCCCACCAAGACAGUGAUCUGUAUCCGGCCUGAGAGGGCGCACGGACACACUGGAACUGAAACACGGUCCAGACUCCUACGGGAGGCAGCAGUGGGGAAUUUUGCGCAAUGGGGGAAACCCUGACGCAGCAACGCCGCGUGGAGGAUGAAGUCUCUUGGGACGUAAACUCCUUUCGAUCGGGACGAUAAUGACGGUACCGAGAGAAGAAGCCCGGCUAACUUCGCGCAGCAGCCGC
rnacentral:rRNA from 1 species